rnacentral:lncRNA from 1 species
UGGAAAUAAGAGGAUCUUCUAAAGCUGCAGUGAUGUGGCCCAGAUCACCUUUAGAGAAGAAGGGGGCAUUUAAAGAGGCAUCUCGAAGUAGAUCAGGUUCUUAUUCUGGGACUAAAGAGAAGCCAAAAAUGCACUCUAGUGAGAGCAGUUCAGAUUCUUCCCCAGAGUGGAAAGAGAAAUCUGAGAGCAGAUCUGUGUCGCAGCUCAGACCAAGAAUAAAAUCAAAAACACCUCCAAGACGCAGAACAUUAAGGUCACCACCUAGUUUUAGACCAAAACCCAGAACUCCAAAGCAUGGCAGGUCUGGGUCUCCACCAAGACCUAACUUGAAGUCCAGAACGCCUCCAAGACGCCAUAGGUCUGGCUCAUCUCCUAGACCCAAAAUAAAGUCUAGAACACCACACAGACAACAUAGAUCUGGGUCAUCCCCAAGGUCCCAAAUAAAAUCCAAAACACCACCCCGAUACCACUGCAGAGCCAGAUCAUCUCCAAGAUCUAGAAGGAAAUCUAGAACCCCUCCACGAUGUAGGUCUGGAUCACAGGCAAGAGAAAAGUCUAGAACACCAGUUACAAGAAGACUGAGAUCUGUAUCAGGGAGUCCUAGAUGCAAAUCUCGAACACUUCCAAGAUGUGGACGGUCUAGAUCACUCUCCAGAGAAAAAUCAAGCACCAGCACACAUCCACAUCAGUCUGAGUCAUCAUCCAAUGGUGACAGGCCCAGAACUUCUUUGCAACAAGAAAGAUCUGGCUCUCCCUCAUGGAGGGGUCACUCCAGUUCACUCUCCAGGCGACAAGAUAAAUCUUGGGGUUUGUUGCGGAGGGAACAAUCAGUUUCCUCUCCAGCUAGAAGCUGCUCAAGAUCCUUUUCUCAGGAGAAAUCUAAACUACCACACAGAGGUAAUUCCCAAUCGUCAGUACAGAUGUUGCAAUUGUCCCCAAAGAGGACUGCAACAAGUUGGAAUGCAUCCUGUUCACCUCCCAGAUUAGAUACAUCAUGUGUAACAGCAUCAUAUAAAGGCACUGGGUCCAGAGUAUCCCCUGAUUGUCAGUCAUCUCCUGUGAGGAAGCAUUCCAGAUCAGGCACCCAGGAAGCCUAUACAUCUCCAAGAAGAAAGUCUCACUCUCCUCUUGUUCUAGAGAGAUAUCCCAAGUCUGACCUCCAAGAGAAGCCAGCAAGCUCCUCUCUUUGGCACAGCAAAAACAACAUUGCCAUUCCUUGUGCUUUAACUCCACCUUGUGAGGAAUCUCAUAAAUUGCGAAAGGAUCCAUCUAUACUACAUGACUUGCCUUCAGUAUCAAACAAUGGUGACUCCAUAGCCAUCCAAAACAGUUCAGGAGAUAGGAAUCAGAGCAUGCAGCAAGCUAUAAUUAAAGAUGAUGUAGAAGUUGGUGCACCUUUGUCAGGGAGAAGCAGUUGUCAUGCAGGCUCCCUCUCUCCUGUAAAAGCUAAAUGGUUGUCCCACUCCUCCUCUUCCUCCUCUGCUUCUUCAAGCCCCUUACCAGCAUUGAUUUCUGUCCUAGUGCCAUCCCCCAAAGAAGAGGAGAUUGUGUCUGAAGGAAAAGUAGCAGACAGGUCUGAGGUGCACUUGCCUACCCUUGAGGCUGAGUCACAGUUGGCUUCUGUCACCAUGGAGGAUGACACCAGGAGCAGCUGUCCCACAGUCCUACAACCUGCUCUUCCCUCUCCUCCACCCUCUGCCCCUUCAAAGGCAAAGAGAAGUUCACCUGCUUCAUCUACCAGUUCAUCAUCAUCCUCUUCUUCCUCCUCAUCCUUAUCUUCAACUUCUGAUUCUGAGUCCAGCUCAUCUGAAUCCAGUCCCCAUGAUCAGGCAACAAAGGAUCUUGAGGCUAAGAUUGAACUGAAACACCCAGUGCUGAAAGAGACUAAUCAUGAUGAGCAACCUCUGGAAAUGGGCAAACGUAAGUGUCGUUCUCAAAGCUCAAGCAGUUCAAGCAGCAGCUCUUCCUCUUCAUCCUCAUCCUCUUCUUCAUCUUCGUCCUCUUCAACGCCACUGCCUAAAACAGGACUUCAGGCGGUGAUGAAGGGUCCCCUAAAGAAGAAACCAUCUCCAGGAAAGAGAAAGUCACACAGCCCUAGAAAACCAAUUGACUCAUUGAGAGAUUCUCACUCUCUGAGCUACUCCCCAGCAAAACAGCGUCAGAUUUCCCCUCCUCCCCAACCACCCUCUACUCCAAGGGAUCGAUGUAGAGACAGGUCUAGGGAUAGGUCCCUGCGGAGAAACAGACGAAGCAUCAGCAGGUCUCCAGGACGAAAACAUCAACACAAAUCUCCCAGUCCCCGAGCUCCUCGUCGCAGAACUUCAAGGUCCCCGUAAGCCUUUUGGAGAGUGGAAUGUCCUUGUCCUCACAACCACAGACUGCACCAUCCCCAGCGUCCAGUGCUAUUCCAGUUGGGAGUCCCCCACCUACUGAUGUCCACUGAAAACCAGUGUGUUUGCAUUGGGGGGAGAGUGAAGUGGAGGUCUCUUCAUUUGCCAUCACCUUUAUAUUCUCAUUAGUUUUUUCCUUUACUGUCCCUGUCUUUAUUGCCCAUCAUUUGUCGGCAGCUACCUUCCCCAUGUCCCUGGACAUUUCUGCACAACACCUGCCAGGAUCCAAAAGCUUCUAUGCUCCUCUUCCAACAGUUGGUGAUGUUCAUUUGAUUUUUUCCCUCCUGUGAGCAUUUUUUUCCCUGUGCAUUUUGCAGCUAAAAUCUAUACUAACAACCCAGAAUUAGAUGGAAGGUAGUGCUUUCUAGUAGCUCCUUUCUCUGUUCCCCACUUUCUAUCAAGCUUUUCUGAAGAAAGGCAGGCAGCUUCUUUCAGUAGCCUGUAACAGUGGAGUCGAUCCUUGGCAGUGGCAACUAUUCCUGCUCCUCCACCCCCCAAGAACAAAAUGAAUUUAAUAUGCAGCACUUUUUUUCCUUUUUCCUCCUCAAGGGAGACUCACUCAUAUUUAUUAGCUGAGCCAGGUCAUGAGGGGUCAAGUUUGAAACUGGAACAGGGGCUUUCAGGCAUUUUAGGGGGAAGGUGACAAAGUGUGCUGAGAAGAAGCUGAGAAACCCUAAAUCAGGGAGGGUGGGAACAGAAGUUUUUUCAUAUUUCUGAAAAGCAUUUAAUUUUUUUUAUAUGUACAGCAAGGAGAUUUUUUUUUCUGUCAAAUAAACUUA